rnacentral:rRNA from 1 species
UACGUAGGUGGCAAGCGUUGUCCGGAUUUACUGGGUGUAAAGGGCGUGUAGCCGGGCUUACAAGUCAGAUGUGAAAUCCGGGGGCUCAACCCCCGAACUGCAUUUGAAACUGUAGGUCUUGAGUAUCGGAGAGGCAGGCGGAAUCCCUAGUGUAGCGGUGAAAUGCGUAGAUAUUAGGAGGAACACCAGUGGCGAAGGCGGCCUGCUGGACGACAACUGACGGUGAGGCGCGAAAGCGUGGGGAGCAAACAGG